CUAAGGAGCACUUCUCCACCGACACCCGAACAGUCGGGAUGGUAAACGUCUGGUGGCAGAGACCGUUUCGGAAGCAAUCGUCUUCCGGCGGAAGCUCAUGGGUGGAGCGCUGACAACCUCUCCCGCAUUGUGGUGCCGGCCGAGUCCGGUGCCGCGGGUGAUAUAUCGACACACUGUUGGGUCCUGAAAGAACAGACGUUCUUUCCAGGCAAAAAAUACGAUCCACUCGGAUCUUCGUUGGUACCGCCGGGCGUGCUCGGGACUGGCUUCGAGGUUGAGUUUCGGGUGGGUGUGUUGUUUGAGAACUGCACAGUGGACGCGAGCAUCUUUGUUAGUAAGUGUUUAAGAGCGUAC
rnacentral:misc_RNA from 1 species